UAGCAAUAUUAUCACGCUGUCUCCUUUUCAUUUCUUAAUAUAUGUGAAUGUAUUCUUAGGGAGCCAUUAGACCCGUUUCCCAGGCCAGUACCUCCCGGAGUAUUGGCUGCCAGACUGACCCCCUUCCUAAAAGAUCUGUUGGAACCCAACUAUCCAAGGACACUCUUAAGACUCACGUCAGAAGCAGAGCUUCUCAGACAAGUGUGGUCUGUGAGAAUGUGUGGUCUCCCCCACUUCUCACCUCAACACCCUUGAAGUCCCUUCCACCCAAAAAGAGGCCGCGACUGGAACUAGAGGAGGACGACGAUGAAUGGGAGGCCUCCAUUGAGGCUACUGACCCUAAUGACUCCACUUUCAUUCAAAGUGUAUCAAUGACAACAGAGUCAUCGACUGUAUCACAAGCCUCACCACCAUAUGAUGUACCUAAAUAUAUUGUAUACGAAAACUGCCUCCUCGAGUUGUUUGAGUUAUGUCCAGUGUGCAGCUCCAUGUGUGAUGUCCGGAAAACUAUACGUGGGACUUUCCUUGCUGUUGAUCAGACAUGCCACCGUUGUGAGUUCAACACACAGUGGAAGAGUCAACCGUUCAUUGGAAGUACACCUGCAGGGAACAUUCAUCUCUCUGCGGCUGUAUAUUUUACAGGGACAUCUUUCAUC